CUGUGGCAUCAAAGAUAGGAAAUGGCUAUAAAGCAGCUCAUAAAGACUAACAGUCAAACUUUCUGCUGUGCUCACAGACAAUGGAGUGCUUAAAACUAUCAUCACCUGAGAAGUGACAUGGGAUUAGAGAGUGUCUUCUAAAGAAGGGCAUGGAGCCCAUGAGGUCAAAAACAUAUAUAUUCCCUUGGCGGUCUCCAGCAAGGAGAGAAUCCCCAGAAUUGUCAAAAGCCACAUUCAGAAAAUGUAUUGUCUUUGAAUGGUACCCUUGGACACUGUGAAGAAUGUUCACUAUAACUCUGUGAAGAAAGCCAGCAAAACAGUCAUGCUUAGAAUAAUUUUAUUACCAUUUAUAUCUGUAAGACAAAGGAUUAAAAUGUUUCUAUCUUA